rnacentral:rRNA from 1 species
GCCAACAAAUAAGUGACAGAAAUUACUUGAUUGAUGUGUACGCAUCUCAGUCAGUGCUGAGCUUGGUCAGUACCUGGAUGGGAGACCUCCUGGGAAAACUAGGUUGCUGUUGGAA